CCAGCUACUUGGGAGGCUGAGGCAGGAGAAUGGCGUGAACCUGGGAGGCGGAGCUUGCAGUGAGCCGAGAUCCCGUCACUGCACUCCAGCCUGGGCGACAGAGCGAGACUCCGUCUCAAAAAAAAAUAAAUAAAAAAAAUAAUUAGUUGCUCACUGCCUAACCAAUAAAUGUUAGUGUACUGGGCAGGGAAGGGAAAGAGAAGAAUUAGGUUGAUGUAAUUCAUUUAUUAUCUGGAAGCUCAAUAGGGAAUGUGACAUGAAUGAAUUUAAGCAAGUCUGGGCAUAUUGGGAGGCAAUUCUCCAUGUAUGUCUUGCAAAUAAAGGCAUUGGUGAUGAUCACUCUGUCUUUUCGAGGAUGUUGGUAGAGCAAACAGCUUUUGAAGAUAGAGAUGAUUUCUCUCUCUGAAGGAAAAGGUGUUUGUCUACUUUGCAGUCUAAUAAAUACAAUGUCUUCAUCUGGGGCAAACGUUGGGUUUCUUUUCUGCACCUCUAUUAAAAACUGGGGUUUUGCCAGCAAGGGGUUGCUCAUCUAUGAUGCAAACCCAUUGUGUGUGCUGUAUCCACCUGGGAAAAUAUGAAGAUAAGGAUGCUCAUUGUGCCUUCAGUAAUAAAGUCUUUUCUCUUUGAUCUAGGAGUCCAGUGUCUUCAGCCCAUCACGUUGAAGCUGUGGGGGCUAAUAUGUUAGCUUGCAAGUGGCUUAAUAUCUCAUAGUCUUCAUUCUUGAUAAAGCUUCCCUAGUUUCUCAUGGGAGAAGGGCCUACUGGGAUUAUGGAGUCAGAGAAAGUGAUGCACAGAGUUAGUCAUUGGAAGCUGCACACAUUCUAAAUCCAGCAAUCACUGUCCUGAGUGAACAUGAAGUUCUGCAAUUACUCAGUGAUCACAAAGGUCCUCAAAGCUAACACUACUCACGAAGAUGGUGUGAGUUACAUUGGCUGACAAGCUCCAGCCAUGGACGCAAUUCCUUCUAGAAGCAAAAUUUAUCUCUAGACUCCUCCUGUAUUUUAAUUUAGCCACUUUUUUAGGGCCUACAAUUUUAGAUCUCCACAGGGCUCUUGAAACUUCUUGAACCUCAUCAGUAACAUGUCCAUUAGUGGCAUGACCCAAGAGUUCUAGAACAUCUAUUCAGCAAGUGUGUAUCUGAAAACUGAUCACCUCUGAUGAAUUAGAACGGAAUGACCAAGCUUUGGGAGAGGCAAAAGAAUUUCGGUGUUAAAGACUCAGAGUUUAAGAAGCAACAAAAAGAUUAUACAGAUGUGAAUAUGUGACCUUCCUCCACCAGGGCAUGUUGCCUUGGAAAAAAAUUUGCCUGCUCUGCUCAGGACCAUCACUCUGCCUGCCUGGGGCGGAACUGGAUUUUUUCCCCUGGAUUCUUUUCUUGUUGGGAGUGAGUGCAAAGCCUUCCAUCUAUCCCUGGCUACAAGCUGAAAGGCUGGGCACAGUUAAAAGUUUCUACUUUGCUUCAGGGUGUAAAUCUGGGUCCAUACAGGUGCUCUCCGCUGUAUGGUAGGCUACUUGAGGGGCCAUGAGCUUUCUUCUCCAUUUUCUCAACUUUGGCCAGAAACACAGCCAGAAACAGGGUUUUGCUGCCAUCCCAGCUGGAGUGCAGUGGUGCGAUCAUAGUUCACUCCAGCCUCAACUCCUGGGCUCAAGCGAUCUUCCUAUCUCAACCUCCAGAGUAACUGGGACUACAGGCAUGCAACAUCACACCAAGCUAAUAUAUUUAUUUUCCUGUAGAGAUGGGGUCUCACUAUGUUGCAGACUGGUCUUAAACUGCUAGCCUCAAGCUAUCCUCUCCUGUGGCCUCUCAAAGCGCGGGGAUUACAGACAUGAGCCACCACACUUACCUAUUCUUUCUUUUUUUUCCUUUAAUUUUUAAAUUGACAAAUAAUAAUAAUUGUGCUUAUUCAUGGAAGGUACCUAACAUUGUUUCAAUACAUAUAAUGUAUAGUAAUCAGAUUAGGGUAAUUAGCAUACCUAUUAUAUCAAACAUUUGUCAUUUCUUUAUGUUGGGAAUGUUCAAUGCAUUCCUCGUUUUAGCCAUUUGACUCUAUA
rnacentral:lncRNA from 1 species